GCAUUUGAUCGUGUUGUUUCGUAAUCGGUUAUCAUAAUUUCCAAUAUGGCUGGUAUCAUUGUCGUCAAUAUGUUUUAUGCACUCCACAUUGAGGAGGACACUACAAAAGUACAAAAGUACUCGGACUAGAGAGAUAUCCACGCAUGCCAAAAUGAUACAUAAUUUGUUGGUGGCCGCCGAUGUACUUUGGAGAUGAUAUGUGGAGUAUAGUACCCCCCCCCAUUAGAAACAAUAGUCGCACAUCUGGAGGAGGAAGAUGGCGACGACGAUGAGUACUAAAAAUUCUGUAUUCAUAUAUAUACGUAUAUGUAUAUGUAUAUGUUUAAUUUUUUUUUUUUAACAUUUUUUCCUAAAUUGGGUUCACCACGUGUUUUUAAUAAUAGUUAUCUCUUGAGUAUAACAUCUCCAUAGUAAGGUAUGGUUUUAUUUUAACGGAGCAGUUUCUUGUUACAAUUUCAGUAUAUGGAGUAUUAGCCUUUGAUUAAUAUACAUGUUUAAUUUAUUAUAUUUAUAAUUUUUUUUGGUUAUGUUGUUGUUGACGACACUUUUUAUAGUGACAUGGUAAAACAACAAAAAAAAAUUUACAGAGUUGCUUAUGUGGUAGCCAAAAAAAAAUUUUACAUGAUAAUGAUGAUAAUAUUUUACAGAACUAAUAAUUGUAUUAUUGCCUUAAAAUUUAAACAAACAUAAAUAUUUGAUGUUGUUGGAAAAAUUGUACAAUGUUGCUUAUAUGAUAAAAUUGUACACAUAAUGUUGAUAAGAUGUAUCGAUUAUGUAUUAAGUACAUCAUGUUUUUGUAUGUCUUAACCUACUUAUGUGUUUUGUUUAACUUAUUAGAAAUAGUUGCGUAAUUUUACUUAUUACCUAUGGUCCUAUACUAAUAGGCCAAUAAUCUAUGAUUGUAUUAGUAUUUAAAUAUAUAUUUAAUUUAAAGCUUAAUACAACAGCUGUAUGUACAAAUAAUU